rnacentral:rRNA from 1 species
AAGCGUGUGAGCCAUGUGCCGAGAAAAGCUGCUAUUGUGUAAUGCGUGCCCGUACCGUAAACCGACACAGGUGGAUGAGGAGAGAAUCCUAAGGCCGACGGAAGAAGCAUUGUUAAGGAAUUCGGCAAAAUGACCCCGUAACUUCGGGAGAAGGGGUGCCUGCGAGAGCAGGCCGCAGAGAAUAGGCUCAAGCAACUGUUUAGCAAAAACACAGGUCUAUGCGAAACCGAAAGGUGAAGUAUAUGGGCUGACGCCUGCCCGGUGCUGGAAGGUUAAGAGGAGAGGUUAGCGUAAGCGAAGCUUUGAAUUUAAGCCCCAGUAAACGGCGGCCGUAACUAUAACGGUCCUAAGGUAGCGAAAUUCCUUGUCGGGUAAGUUCCGACCCGCACGAAAGGCGUAAUGAUUUGAGCACUGUCUCGACAAUGCAUCCGGUGAAAUUGAAGUACCAGUGAAGAUGCUGGUUACCCGCGCCAGGACGGAAAGACCCCAUGGAGCUUUACUCCAGUUUGAUACUGGGAUUCGGUACUGCAUGUACAGGAUAGGUGGGAGACGAAGAAGGAUGGACGCCAGUCUGUCCGGAGUCGCUGUUGGGAUACCACCCCUGUAGUACUGGGUUUCUAACCAGUUGCCAUGAACUGGCAAUGGGACAAUGUCAGGCGGGGAGUUUGACUGGGGCGGUCGCCUCCGAAAGGGUAUCGGAGGCGCUCAAAGGUUCCCUCAGAAUGGUUGGAAACCAUUUGAAGAGUGCAAAGGCAGAAGGGAGCUUGACUGCGACACCGACGGGUGGAGCAGGUACGAAAGUAGGACUUAGUGAUCCGGUGGUAUAAAGUGGGAUUGCCAUCGCUCAACGGAUAAAAGCUACCCUGGGGAUAACAGGCUUAUCACUCCCAAGAGUUCACAUCGACGGAGUGGUUUGGCACCUCGAUGUCGGCUCAUCGCAUCCUGGGGCUGUAGCAGGUCCCAAGGGUUGGGCUGUUCGCCCAUUAAAGCGGUACGCGAGCUGGGUUCAGAACGUCGUGAGACAGUUCGGUCCCUAUCCGGCGCGGGCGGAGGAUAUUUGAGAGGAGCUGUCCUUAGUACGAGAGGACCGGGAUGGACGGACCACUGGUGUAUCUGUUGUCGACCAACGGCAUGGCAGAGUAGCCAAGUCUGGAAGGGAUAAACGCUGAAGGCAUCUAAGCGUGAAGCCCCCCUCAAGAUGAGAUAUCCCUCCUUCGGGAGUAAGACCCCUUGAAGACUACAAGGUAGAUAGGGCAGAGGUGGAAGCAUGGCAACAUGUGGAGCUGACUGUUACUAAUAGGUCGAGGGCUUAAUCU